GUUCUGCAGUUGGACAGCAAAGGAUCGUGGGAAUGAAGAGUUUGAUGACUUCAUGCACGAGAGCAGCAAAAUCUGCAGGCCACAAACAUGACAAACUGUCUUUGAGCACAUCCUGAACAGGAUAUGUGGAGAUGCUGUGGACGAUCAACAUGAUCUUCAUCCUCAGCAUCCAGCUCAAAAAACCUCCAUUCUUAUAUGAACCACCCAUCAUCACAUUUACCAUGAUGGAGUGAAUUGUGUUUCUGUGGGCUGGUCUGACGCCGCAAACAUUAUUUCUCCAGAACA
rnacentral:lncRNA from 1 species